rnacentral:rRNA from 1 species
UACGAAGGGGGCUAGCGUUGUUCGGAAUUACUGGGCGUAAAGCGCGCGCAGGCGGUCCUGUAAGUCAGGGGUGAAAGCCCAGAGCUCAACUCUGGAACUGCCUUUGAAACUAGAGGACUUGAGUACGGGAGAGGUAAGUGGAAUUCCGAGUGUAGAGGUGAAAUUCGUAGAUAUUCGGAAGAACACCAGUGGCGAAGGCGACUUACUGGACACAUAUUGACGCUGAGGCACGAAAGCGUGGGGAGCAAACAGG